rnacentral:rRNA from 1 species
AACGAACGCUGGCGGCAGGCUUAACACAUGCAAGUCGAGCGAGGAAUGACUGGUAGCUUGCUAUCGGUUAUUUCUAGCGGCGGACGGGUGAGUAACGCGUGAGCAACCUGCCUUUAUCAGGGGGAUAACGCAUCGAUAGAUGUGCUAAUACCGCGUAAGACCACAGCCUCACAUGGGGCAGGGGUCAAAGGAGCAAUCCGGAUAAAGAUGGGCUCGCGUCCGAUUAGCUAGUUGGUGAGAUAACAGCCCACCAAGGCGACGAUCGGUAGCCGACCUGAGAGGGUGAUCGGCCACAUUGGAACUGAGAUACGGUCCAGACUCCUACGGGAGGCAGCAGUGGGGAAUAUUGGGCAAUGGGCGAAAGCCUGACCCAGCAACGCCGCGUGAGGGAAGAAGGGUUUCGGCUCGUAAACCUCUGUCCUAUGGGACGAAGGAAGUGACGGUACCAUAGGAGGAAGCCCCGGCUAACUACGUGCCAGCCGCCGCGGUAA